UGAUUUAUGGUUUAGUGCUCAUGAUUUCUGCAAAAUCAACUGGAUGAAUGAAUUGCUGAGAUUCUACCCUUUCUAACGACGUAUAGUAUGUCCGUAAUGAUGAAAGUUGAAGCGAGAUACGUCACUGCGCAGUGUAGAAAAUAGUCGCUUAUCUGAAAUCGCCCGCCGGCGGGCGGGUGGGUGCAUAUAAUGAGUCAGAAUCACGUGACUGUAAACGACCUAUGAGGAUCAAGACAGUUCAACGGUCGUGCUUAUGCCAAUGGGCCAGUUACGUCAUCGCAAAUACGGAAAAUCGGCGCGAACACGGAACUUGGCACUUUGGGGAAAAAAAGGAAAAGUCUGCUGUCCAUCCUCAGCAACACUCAGAUUUUCGGUAAGUGGCACAAGUUGCUCAGCUAUCUGACACAAACUUGAGUUAUUUUUGCGUUUAUGUACUUUUGCGUCGUGUGUGUUGAUUUUUUUCACUUUUCGUUUCAUCGCCGUCGAGGAUUUCGGCGGAUUUUGAUGACAACGACAGAGGACGAGGGAGGACUUCGCCACAGCACACUGUGCCGCCGUUUUACAGAAGAACAAAUAAUGGACUCCAUUAAGAGGGCAAUACAGACCGCGCUACCACAGCUAGAUGAAGCAAAACUUGAAACUUUGGUCAAUGAGUUGGUGACCAAAGUAGGUGUUGAAGGUCCAGAGGAUCUGCAGUUCAUUCAAGAAGAUGACCUCAAACAUCUGCUCACACCCAUUCAGUGCAGAAAGAUUCUUCAUUCCUUGAAAGCAGGUCCUGUUGAUACCCAGCCGAGCUCUUCAUUGCCUGAGCCACUGCCAGUUGCCUCUUCCAGCACAUGCCCCAUAUCACCCAUCAGUCCCAAUUCUGCAUGGGUGGACAAUUUUGAGGUGCCAUGGAACAAAAUGAGGCCAAGUCUUAGAAGAGCAGUUGAUGCUGGUGAGAAGCCAGCUCCGGAGGACCGCCGACACCGCCCCCAAAAGUGUAUUGCAGGCUGGCGAGCUUCCAAUGGCAUCUUGUCCUUGGUCAGGUGACUACCACUCCUGCAGACGCAGAGGCCCACCUGUCUCUCCCCAUAACACCGAGGAUCAUCAUGCUUGGUUAAAAAGACAACGUCUGCGGAGAGACAAUCCUGAGUGCCCAAAAAUGGAUGCUGUCAAUUGAGGGGAGGGUUGUAAUCCCAACUGCUGCUCACCUCACUGACUUUACCACUGCCUUGGCUGCUCUCUUCGCCUGCUACUAUGUCUUCAACCUCGAGUAUCAGGUGGAAGCCAACACCACAUUGGAGUUUGUUCAGAGGUUUUUAGUCAGAAUUAAUCCGGACUCCACGAAAUGCACAGCCAAGGAGCAAAUAAGCCGGAGGACUGGGAGAGUGGUGAAGCGGAAGAAUGCAUAUAUGAACCCCAAUGUAAUCUCCUUCAUCAGGGAGUUCAGAGUUUGAUUGGCUUACUGACUAGAUGCAGGGCUUCAACUGGGAGCCUUGAGGCCUUGGACCAUUUGUGGCUGGUAGGGGAAUGAGAGGUCUUCCCUUCUUUGUUCUUUCCCCACCAUGUUUUUGUAUUUUCUAUUUGAAAUGUUGUAUUUUACUAAUUUUAUAGUGCCCUGUUGUAUUGUUCAUGCAAAUAUUCACUAUUUUAGAUUAUAUUACCCUUGUGUUUUAAAAAAAUAUAUAUAAUUGUGAAGCAAGUUGUUUCAUUUGCCAUACAGCACUUAUCAGUGUCACAGUUCUAUUCCUUUUCACCAAAUGUUAAAUAAAUAAUGGUGUUAACAAUUUC